CUGAAACAUAAAUUAAGCAGUCUAACCAUCCAUAGUAGCCAUGUCAUACUAGUCUCACUGAGAAAUGGAUAUUUAUUGCCCCCCCUGUGUCACAUUGUCAAAAUGAAUGAUAUAAUUAUACCCUAUCUGAGAUGAAGGAUUUGCAGGGGUUUGUAUUGGAUGCCCUUUUCCAGUCUUAAAAGUUAGUGGGGGCUGUAGUAGGCUGUACUCAGAUGCAGACAUUUCAUUUGCUAUUAGAGACUGUGACUACUGAAAUCUGGGGCUGCUGGCAGUGUUGUGUAGCCCAGGGUCAUGACAGCCAGGCUUCCUGCUUUCUCCUCUUGUAGAAAAAGCUGAGUUGAGACACGGCCAUUUUCACUAAGAGGACAGAGGCAGAUGGUACCAGAGCUGGGGUCAUUUCCUACACCCUCUCUUUCUUCCAACAUCCAGAGUAACAAGCUUAACUCUUUAGGGCUUUCCACCCUCUUUUUAAUUAGGUCUUUAUUUUUCCCUUCCCUCUUCACAGCAGCAGUAGUCAGUAGCCAGCACCUUGGACUUGGGAGAUAAAGUGCAGUUCUUUCUACGCUGCUGAGCUUGACAGAUUUAUUCUGACCACGUACUUAUUGCCCUGCGUAUGCAGUAUCAGCUUGGUCUCACUGUUGCCCGGUCAGAAUGCUUAAACUUCUUGGUCAGCUAUACCACCCUAGCCCAACCUCCUCAUGCCCCGAAAAUGUUGCUAUGAGAUGCAGAGCCAAACCUACAUCUGGGAACACCAUUUCCUUACCUGACUGCAAAUGUCAUUGGGUUAGGCAUGGAAACAUAAAGCAAGCUGACACGUCUUACCUUGCUCAAGUUGGACUAUACAUUUUGGAAAAAAAAAGGCAUGCCCGAAAUUUCAGUGAUGUCAGUGAACUUUGGUUCUAACACCUAGCAAACAAGCUGAAACAGUCUUUUAGAAUUUAGAUUUAGUUGGCCAUAUAUUAGAAAUCAAACUUCAGAUCAGUUAAAUUGUCAUCAUCAGUAAAUGAGACCACUGUAUUCUAAAGAGUAUUUAACAUGUAGUUGCAGAGAAGUAAGAUAUCCUAGGAAUAUUUUAGACUCCAAGAUGAACAGUUUUCCCUACUGUUACUACAUUUUAAGUGUAAGAGCUUCUAUUUUUAAUGUUAUACUGAGGUAUGGAAUCAUCUGUAAAGAUAGUAACUGUCAGUACUUAAUAUUUGCAUCGUAUUUCAUUCAGCUUCUCUCAUCAUUGUUGACAAAUAAUCCUAGGUGUUAUACAGAUGCCUUUAUUGCAGCUUCCUGUGUGAAUCUAGAGCAGUGUUCUUGACCUGCUUUCACAUGGUGUGAACCUUUCAAAGAUCUUGAUUGGAUCGUGAACAAUCCAGUUGUGAAAGGAGAUGACAAGGAGUAGAGAAGAAACUCUGAGAAGAAUCUGGAGAAUAGGUAAAUAUUUUAUGUUCUCCCGACCACCACCAUCUACUUUGGACACCUUUCUAGGAAGUGCUUUUGUGAAUGGCUCGGCUGGCAGAAUUUUUCAUGGAAAGAGCUAAUGUUCAAUACAUGCUGUUUUCAUGGUCCCAUCACCCUCAGAUUCUCACAAGAAAUAAAGUGGGAAGAUUUGUUCUAUCCAGGAAACAUGGUUUCUGCUCCUCACUGGUAUUCUUGCUUACUGAACUCAGGAUCAUGAGGCUUGGGAGUGCAUGUUAACAUCUCGGACAGGUAUGACAUGGAGAUCAUCUGACAUGUAGGUAGGACUUUCAGUCAGGAUUAACACUAUACUGUACCAAAAGAACAGCUAUGAUUGGCAAAUAAUUUAAUUCAGGUUUGGAAAAUAAAACCUUUGAGGAAUUAAACUAAGUUUUUGUUUCACUAAAGUUUUUUUUUUUUUUUUAAGUUGUAUGUUGAUGGUGCUUCUCAUCAAAAACCUGUAUCCAUAACAGAGAUCUGAGAAUGGAUAAAGUACAAGACAAGAAAACGAAGUGGAAUAGAUAAAUGAUGGAAGAGUAUUUUGGAAAGAAACUACUGAGAAAGCCAUGCAGGACACUUCCCAAUCACUGAGCACCAUUUUACUGACUCUUCUCAAAGUGGUUAUAUUUUCAUGGGUAUUUAUUUUUUUAUUAUUAUUUUUUAUUUUUAUUUUUUUAUUCAGAGGGCAGAGGAGAAAUAAUUAGAUUCUUACACUUAAGAAUCGGGAUGUUAAAGUGCUGACAUUACGAUUUCACCAUAUUGUAACUUCUGUAGAACAUAAGUUUCUUAACUGUAACAAAAUGCCCAACUAAUGCUUUUGGGAGGGAGCCAACACUGUUCCCUGUCUUCCUCAGUCCCACAGAAAUCAAAUUCAAGUCCCACUAUCUGUGUGUGUGUGUAUAUAUAAUUUAUAUGUAUAAAUAAAAGCAUCGUGAAGCAGAAGUGUGAAUGAAACUGUAAAUAUGACUUUAUGGUGGAAACUUUGGGCAGUGGUUUCAUUGUUUCUCAUUUCAACCUUUUUGAAAAUGCUGCAAAGGAAUCGAGAAGUAAAUGGAAAGUUUCUGAAUUUAUUUUCCUUACUGGAACUCCUUAGAUUAUGUCAUUUUAAAAACUGUGACACCGAGCUACAAACGUGGUGAACGGUCUGGAGGGAAAAACAUAUGAGGAGUAGCUGAGGUCCACUGGUCAGUUUGUUCAGCUAAGAGGAGGCUGAGGGAAGGCCUCAUUGUGGCUUACAGUUGGACUCAGUGAUCCUUAUGGGUCCCUUCCAAUUCAGGAUGUUCCAAUUCAGAUGACUCUGUGAUUCUGUUAUUUUUAGUGUUGCUUUUCUUUGUGUACUGUGGGUUGGACCCCAUUCAUUUUUUUUUUCCUCAUUAUACAAGAACUCCAGCAUAAUUCUAAAAAGGCUGGUAAGAAGUUCACAAAUAAGGAAUUGAUUUUAAAUACAAUUUUUUUAAAACAUCUGCUUGAUUCUCAGUGUAGUUUUGUAUUUUGCAAAAUUAAGAUAUUAUCACUUAAGUUGAUUAUGAAAACUCUAAAAGCAGAUAAAAUUAGGAAGAACUUAACCAGAAAGAAUGGAAAUCUACCCUACUGGUACCAGUUUGGCAUUCACAAGUUGAUUUUUAUAAAUCUUCAGUUGACCUUUUUGACAGGAGCCUUUUGAAGUUCAGUGACAAUGAAUAUGAAGCUCUGUACCUGGAACUGAGGAACUGCUGUUAAAGCAUGGGCUGUGGCUUGCCAGGCUGGGGAGCAGCUCUGAUCAAAGCAGCCUAGUGGUCUGGCUGGACCAGUGUGUCUGAUCAUGUUACUUCUUGUACCACAUCUGCCUUUUGAAGAAGGGAGGGGGGGAAGCCACAUGUUUUCAGGCUGUGGAACUACUAAAGUGUCUGAAUAAAGGAAUUAUUGGUAAAAAAUCUUUCAGAAAUAAUAUUGUGGAAGAAACUACUACUGAAAAACAAUGAGGUUUCUGCUCAAGGUUUUCUAGUCCUGACAUAACAUGGUACUGUUCAUUAGCCUGACGGUUUCUGUAUCAUGCAGGUUUGUGUCUGGCCAAGAAGGUGCAUGUAUAAAGAUUGCUCCUACAAGUCUGUAUCUGUCUGCAGAGCUGAACCUCAAUUAUCAUAUCUGACAAAGAAUAAGCUGUUAUUAUAGUAAAAAUUACAUGGGAGGUCUUUAAAAUAAGCCUUCUCCUUGCUGACUGACAGGAGAGGCUGAGUGGCUUUAACAUAGUGCACCAAAGUGUAUUCCUGAAUUGGUUUCACCUUUAUUUCAGAGAAACGAAAAGGAUGAUCAUUUAAUAAUUUCAUAUAAGCGUUGUCACGAUCAAGGGAAGAAUGCGAUUCAUUUAAAUUUGGAAGAGAAUCUGAGUGACUGCUUUGCAUCAGUAAACUUCAGAGUGCUCUGUAAUUCAUCGUGCUCAACAGGAAGAAAAACAAGUUGAAGAAAGUGAAUAUAUAAUGCUGUUAGAACAGUUUUGAAUUUAGCUGAACUUUACUCUUCAGUUCACUGACUGGUGUGACAUUAAGAACACAAGAAAGGUCAGUUAAAUGGCAAUAUCAAAAAGUUUCUUAAAUUACAAGAUGGCUCUUGCCUGUCUCCAGGCUACUGGUGAAUCCUUAGCUAAUUAUCAUGGUAUGCCAGUAGACAAACACUCUACUCUAGAUGUACAAAUAUGUUCUUUCAAUGUUAAAAUUAUUUGCAGUGGUAGAGCAACAUUUCCCAAACUUCCACCAUGAUCAAACAGAAAGUAGAUUUUGAAAAGGUAUUAUUUAACAAUUUCUUUUUUUAAGUUUUGAAAGAUGGAGGCUUUGAUUUCUGUAAAGCUGUUUAUGGUACUCCUUAAGAUUUGACCUCUACCUUAAUGCUAUUAUAAGCGGGAAUAUAAUUAAUAUUUCUUUCCAGCAUAGGGCCAACGAGUCAGUAGUUCCUCAGGAGAGGAGAGCAUUAUACGUAUGCCAAGUAGGAGCACCACAUUUUGGGGUCCUGUUUGUACCAACCUGGGUUAAAGUUUGUUAUACAAGGGGGCUGUAAGCAAAAUCUUGAAAGUGCAGAAAUAAAAGACUGUUUGAUUUACUUAUGUAUGACCUACAAGAUUUUAAUCUUAAUGGAUCUCCUUCACAAACCGUAGCCAGUGUGGCAUAUAUUCAUUCACUAACCCAACUCUUCUUCAUGUAAAUGGUGUUGCAAACUCUUGUGAGUCUGGCAAAAUUCCAGCAUUAGCAAAAUGGUAUAGAAGUACUUUCACUCUUUGAAGAUCAAACAGUAAAGAAUAAAUGAGUCUUUCUCAAAUGCCC
ensembl:lncRNA